rnacentral:rRNA from 1 species
GACGAACGCUGGCGGCGUGCCUAAUACAUGCAAGUAGAACGCUGAAGGAGGAGCUUGCUCUUCUGGAUGAGUUGCGAACGGGUGAGUAACGCGUAGGUAACCUGCCUGGUAGCGGGGGAUAACUAUUGGAAACGAUAGCUAAUACCGCAUAACAGUAGAUGUUGCAUGACAUUUACUUAAAAGGUGCAAUUGCAUCACUACCAGAUGGACCUGCGUUGUAUUAGCUAGUUGGUGGGGUAACGGCUCACCACGGCGACGAUACAUAGCCGACCUGAGAGGGUGAUCGGCCACACUGGAACUGAGACACGGCCCAGACUCCUACGGGAGGCAGCAGUGGGGAAUCUUGGGCAAUGGCCGGAAGCCUGACCGAGCAACGCCGCGGGAGUGAAGAAGGUUUUCGGAUCGUAAAGCUCUUUUGUAAGGGAGGAAGGGGGGUGAGAGUGGAAAUUGCCGAUUGGACGGUAACCUUACAAGAAGGGACGGCUAACUUAGUG